AUUGAACGCUGGCGGCAUGCCUUACACAUGCAAGUCGAACGGCAGCACGGGUGCUUGCACCUGGUGGCGAGUGGCGAACGGGUGAGUAAUACAUCGGAACAUGUCCUGUAGUGGGGGAUAGCCCGGCGAAAGCCGGAUUAAUACCGCAUACGACCUACGGAUGAAAGCGGGGGACCUUCGGGCCUCGCGCUAUAGGGUUGGCCGAUGGCUGAUUAGCUAGUUGGUGGGGUAAAGGCCUACCAAGGCGACGAUCAGUAACUGGUCUGAGAGGACGACCAGCCACACUGGGACUGAGACACGGCCCAGACUCCUACGGGAGGCAGCAGUGGGGAAUUUUGGACAAUGGGCGAAAGCCUGAUCCAGCAAUGCCGCGUGUGUGAAGAAGGCCUUCGGGUUGUAAAGCACUUUUGUCCGGAAAGAAAUGCUUGGCCCUAAUACGGUCGGGGGAUGACGGUACCGGAAGAAUAAGCACCGGCUAACUACGUG
rnacentral:rRNA from 1 species